UAAUAAGUGUUUUAUGGCACUUUUUAAAUCCAUAUCCACCUUGUGUGCAAUGUCAGUCGAUCUUCUUCAUGGAGAUUGACCAAACAUCAACCUUUAUUUAUUAACAUCUUUGUCUGAAAAAUAUUAUGGAUAAACAAUUCAAAAUA
rnacentral:misc_RNA from 1 species